UUCUCCUUCAGCAACUCCUCAGUCUUUUCCUUUUCAAUCCUCAACUUCUGAAGCAUUUCUUGCAUUUCUUGCAUGUCCUUUUCAAAUGAAGAGGUCUGCUUUGUCUGCUUAGCCUUUGGGGCCUUAGCCUUCGAUUUCUUGGGAGAAGAGCGAGAUUGAGAGAGGCUUUCGUGGUUCUCUUUCAAAGGAUCAGUGUCUGAUGGUGGAGGGGGAACGGGAGAGAUCUCGGAGAGCUUCUGAGCCAUGAUAUUAACCUCAUUUGUUGAUGGGUUUUUCUGUUUCAGAGCUUUCCUAUUGUU
rnacentral:lncRNA from 1 species